CCAACCAUAGCUCAGUUGGUAGAGCAGAGGACUGUAAUCCUUAGGUCGCUGCUUCGAAUCCGGCUGGCUGGA
rnacentral:tRNA from 1 species